CAGAGCUGUGUCGACCUCCUGGCUCUCCCAUCAUAAGGGAGACAGGUCCCAGCUCUGCUCCUUCAUGUUCCCAGAAUAAACCCGUGUCUGCAGAACUGGAGACCACCCUGCUGUAAGUACUGCACCAUCCACAUGCCCCUUCCAGAGAAAGGCUGAGAAAAGACCCAGUAAGUCCCUGAAGGACUUGUAAAGGAGAGCCAAGACAUCAGCAGUGUGCAAGGGCAGAGAGGACAAGCAGCAACCCCGGGGCCAGGGGACCUGUUGGAGCUGUGGAUCAGGACUCUGAGAGAAUAUUGUGCAGGCAGUAUUGCAGUGCUUCUUGC
rnacentral:lncRNA from 1 species